UUGAGGGCGAUGAAAUAGUCUCUGAAACCAUAUGCCUACAAAGAGUCGGAGCUUUCAUGUGUAGCAAUAUAUAUGGAGGUGACGGCGUGCCUAUUGAAGAAUGAGCCAACGAGUUAUCGUGCAUUACGGAAUCUAAGUCCGCUUUGCGGACGGAGGUGUAGCGAAAGCGAGUCUGAAUAGGGCGAAUAUCAAACUAUAAAUCCACUCUGAUAAGGGCGGGCUUGUCCCGAGCUUGUCGAGGGAUUUAUGGUUUGACCGUAGUUUACGAUAGACCCGAAGCCAGGUGAGCUUGCCAUGACCAGGGUGAACUCCGACGAAAGUCGAAGGGAGGCCCGAACCGGUGAGCCGUGCAAAACUCUCGGAUGAGUUGUGGUAAGGAGUGAAAAGCUAAUCGAACCUGGUAAUAGCUGGUUCUCUCCGAAAUAGCUUUUGGGCUAGCGGCUAUCGCAAGCCAGCAGGUAGAGCACUGGAAGGUCUGUACAGGGAGAAAUCUCGACAGUCCUAUCAAACUCCGAAUGGCUGGUGUUUGGAUAGUUAGUCAGACCAUGGGGGCUAAGCUCCAUAGGUCAAGAGGGAAAGAGCCCAGAUCGCAAUCUAAGGUCCCAAAAUCUGCGUUCAGUGCACUUAAGGAGGUGAGGUUUUUCAGACAGCGAGGAGGUUGGCUUAGAAGCAGCCAUCCUUUAAAGAGUGCGUAACAGCUCACUCGUCGAAAGACCUUGCGCCGCAAAUAAUCGGGGCUUAAACGCAGUACCGAAGGUGCGAAUUGCAUAUCUUUAUUGAUAUGUGAUGGUAGGAGAGCAUUUUGUAUGCUGUGAAGUUCACGCCGCGAGGCGGGAUGGAGCGUACAGAAGAGAGAAUGUUGGCACAAGUAACCGCAAGGCCCGUGAGAGCCGGGCCCGCCGAAAGCACAAGGUUUCCUUGGCAAUGAUGAUCAUCCAAGGGUUAGUCGGUCCUAAGCCAAUGGCGAAAGCCGCAGGCGAUGGACAUACGGUUAAUAUUCCGUAACUCGGUUGCUGAUCGACGAAGUGACGAAGUUUAGUAUGCGAAACGUGUUAUUGGAUUCGCGUUCAUGCCGUAAGGGUGUGCUCCAGGAAAAUCCGGAGCGCUGAAUUUAAUUUCAAACUCAAGCGGAGUGAAAAUUUUUGUCUACGGACAGGAAAAUUUCGCAAAGCAAGCUUCCAAGAAAAGCUUCUACGAUUAUCAGCAAUUGAACCGUACCGCAAACCGACACAGGUGUGCAGGUCGAGUAGACCAAGGCGAACAGGUGAGACCUCCCUAAGGAACUCGGCAAAAAAGCGGCCGUAACUUCGGGAUAAGGCCUGCCCUCCGUAAGGAGGGCCGCAGCGAAAGUUUCUCUGGCGACUGUUUAUCAAAAACACAGCUCCCUGCGAACUCGUAAGAGGAUGUAUAGGGGGUGACGCCUGACCAAUGCGAGAAGGUUAAACAUUGUCGGUGGGUGGUAGCAAUACUGCCUGCUGCAUAGUGUAAGCCCUCGUCAAUGUCGGCGAUAACUAUAAUCGUCCUAAGGUAGCGCAAUUCCUUGUCGGGUAAGGAAGUUGCCCGAUGCAGUAGUGAUACUGCAAUAAAACCGGCUUAUAACGGUGAAGUCCUCGCUGGAGUCUCGCAUCAAGGGCGAGACAGUGAAAGCAGGAUAAUACCGUGGGAAGUCGCCCCGCAGCUGCGGGGUUGACCCCGUAACGACUGAAGUCGCCGCCGUACAGCGGCGACCGAGAUGGAUUUGUGGUAUCAUGAAUUUAUCAUAUGCCGGCUCUCAACAAGAAGCGUAAUCUGUAUGAAUAUAUUUCAGGAAAAGAAAUAUACGCGAGAAGAAAUUCUCAACGCGUUGAGAUGAAGAUAUAGUCUGUGCCAUUAGAAAUAAUGGAUUACAUGAAGUUCCGACGCGCACGAAAGGCGUAACGACUGGAGAACUGUCUCGGGGAGGUGCCUGGUGAAAAUGCGAUGCCGGUGAAGAUGCCGGUUACCUGCAGUUAGACGAAAAGACCCCGGAAGCUUUACUGCAACUUGGUAUUGGGUAUAGAUUUUUGAUGCGUAGCGUAGUGGGUAGCCUUUGAUGGUAUGAUUUCGGUUGUACCGGAGGCGCCAAUGAAACACCCAUCUUCAAACAUUUAUAUUCUAACCCCUGCGGCAAAAACGCAGAGGGACAGUGCCUGGUGGGCAGUUUUGGUGGGGCGCUAUCCUCCCAAAAAGUAACGGAGGAGUUUACCAA
rnacentral:rRNA from 1 species